rnacentral:rRNA from 1 species
CCUACGGGAGGCAGCAGUGAGGAAUAUUGGUCAAUGGGCGAGCGCCUGAACCAGCCAAGUCGCGUGAGGGAGUACUGCCCUAUGGGUUGUAAACCUCUUUUGUCGGGGAGCAAAAUCCGGACGUGUCCGGCUGUGAGAGUACCCGAAGAAAAAACAUCGGCUAAAUCCGUGCCCGCAGCCGCGGUAAUACGGAGGAUGCGCGCGUUAUCCGGAUUUAUUGGGUUUAAAGGGUGCGCAGGCGGAAUUUUAAGUCAGCGGUCAAAACGUGGGGCUCAACCCCAGCCAGCCGUUGAAACUGGGGAUAUAGAGGGGGCGAGGGGUAGGCGGAAAUCGGGGGGGAGAGGUGAAAUGCAUAGAGAACACGGAGAACCCCGAGUGCGAAGGGAGCAUACCGGUGCACAAAUGACGCUCAGGCACGAAAGCGGGGGUAUCGAACAGGAUUAGAUACCCCGAGUAGUC